AUUGAACGCUGGCGGCAUGCCUUACACAUGCAAGUCGAACGGUAACGGGCCUUCGGGUGCCGACGAGUGGCGAACGGGUGAGUAAUACAUCGGAACGUGCCCGAUCGUGGGGGAUAACGAGGCGAAAGCUUUGCUAAUACCGCAUACGAUCUACGGAUGAAAGCAGGGGACCGCAAGGCCUUGCGCGGACGGAGCGGCCGAUGGCAGAUGAGGUAGUUGGUGGGAUAAAAGCUUACCAAGCCGACGAUCUGGAGCUGGUCUGAGAGGAUGAUCAGCCACACUGGGACUGAGACACGGCCCAGACUCCUACGGGAGGCAGCAGUGGGGAAUUUUGGACAAUGGGCGCAAGCCUGAUCCAGCCAUGCCGCGUGCAGGAUGAAGGCCUUCGGGUUGUAAACUGCUUUUGUACGGAACGAAAAGCCUUCUUUUAAUACAGGAGGGUCAUGACGGUACCGUAAGAAUAAGCACCGGCUAACUACGUG
rnacentral:rRNA from 1 species